rnacentral:rRNA from 1 species
GACGAACGCUGGCGGCGUGCUUAACACAUGCAAGUCGAACGGUGAAGCGCCUUCCUUUUUGGUGGGUGUGGAUGAGUGGCGAACGGGUGAGUAACACGUUAGUAACCUGCCCCCUUCUUCUGGAUAACCGCAUGAAAGUGUGGCUAAUACGGGAUAUUCUGGGUCUGUCGCAUGAUGGGUCUGGGAAGGUUAUUGUUUCGGUUGGGGAUGGGCUCGCGGCCUAUCAGCUUGUUGGUGGGGUGAUGGCCUACCAAGGCGGUGACGGGUAGCCGGCCUGAGAGGGUCGACGGCCACACUGGGACUGCGCCGCGGAGCCGCCUCCGACGGGAGGCAGCAGGGAAGAAUAUUGCACGAUGGGCGCACGGCUGAAGCAGCGACGCGGCGUGGGGGAUGGAGGCCUUCGCGUUGUGAACCUCUUUCGCCAGUGAAGCAGGCCUGCCGCGUCUGUGGGUGGGUUGACGGUAGCUGGAUAAGAAGCGCCGGCUAACUACGUG